rnacentral:rRNA from 1 species
GAUGAACGCUGGCGGCGUGCCUAAUACAUGCAAGUCGAGCGAACGGACGAGAAGCUUGCUUCUCUGAUGUUAGCGGCGGACGGGUGAGUAACACGUGGAUAACCUACCUAUAAGACUGGGAUAACUUCGGGAAACCGGAGCUAAUACCGGAUAAUAUUUUGAACCGCAUGGUUCAAAAGUGAAAGACGGUCUUGCUGUCACUUAUAGAUGGAUCCGCGCUGCAUUAGCUAGUUGGUAAGGUAACGGCUUACCAAGGCAACGAUGCAUAGCCGACCUGAGAGGGUGAUCGGCCACACUGGAACUGAGACACGGUCCAGACUCCUACGGGAGGCAGCAGUAGGGAAUCUUCCGCAAUGGGCGAAAGCCUGACGGAGCAACGCCGCGUGAGUGAUGAAGGUCUUCGGAUCGUAAAACUCUGUUAUUAGGGAAGAACAUAUGUGUAAGUAACUGUGCACAUCUUGACGGUACCUAAUCAGAAAGCCACGGCUAACUACGUGCCAGCAGCCGCGGUAAUACGUAGGUGGCAAGCGUUAUCCGGAAUUAUUGGGCGUAAAGCGCGCGUAGGCGGUUUUUUAAGUCUGAUGUGAAAGCCCACGGCUCAACCGUGGAGGGUCAUUGGAAACUGGAAAACUUGAGUGCAGAAGAGGAAAGUGGAAUUCCAUGUGUAGCGGUGAAAUGCGCAGAGAUAUGGAGGAACACCAGUGGCGAAGGCGACUUUCUGGUCUGUAACUGACGCUGAUGUGCGAAAGCGUGGGGAUCAAACAGGAUUAGAUACCCUGGUAGUCCACGCCGUAAACGAUGAGUGCUAAGUGUUAGGGGGUUUCCGCCCCUUAGUGCUGCAGCUAACGCAUUAAGCACUCCGCCUGGGGAGUACGACCGCAAGGUUGAAACUCAAAGGAAUUGACGGGGACCCGCACAAGCGGUGGAGCAUGUGGUUUAAUUCGAAGCAACGCGAAGAACCUUACCAAAUCUUGACAUCCUUUGACAACUCUAGAGAUAGAGCUUUCCCCUUCGGGGGACAAAGUGACAGGUGGUGCAUGGUUGUCGUCAGCUCGUGUCGUGAGAUGUUGGGUUAAGUCCCGCAACGAGCGCAACCCUUAAGCUUAGUUGCCAUCAUUAAGUUGGGCACUCUAAGUUGACUGCCGGUGACAAACCGGAGGAAGGUGGGGAUGACGUCAAAUCAUCAUGCCCCUUAUGAUUUGGGCUACACACGUGCUACAAUGGACAAUACAAAGGGUAGCGAAACCGCGAGGUCAAGCAAAUCCCAUAAAGUUGUUCUCAGUUCGGAUUGUAGUCUGCAACUCGACUAUAUGAAGCUGGAAUCGCUAGUAAUCGUAGAUCAGCAUGCUACGGUGAAUACGUUCCCGGGUCU